GACAGAGGGGGCAAGCGUUGCUCGGAAUUACUGGGCGUAAAGGGCGCGUAGGCGGCCACCGCAAGUCGACUGUGAAAUCUCCGGGCUUAACCCGGAAAGGUCAGCCGAUACUGCGGGGCUAGAGUGCAGAAGGGGCAACUGGAAUUCUCGGUGUAGCGGUGAAAUGCGUAGAUAUCGGGAGGAACACCAGUGGCGAAGGCGACUACCUGGCCCAUUCUUGACGCUGAGGCGCGAAAGCUAGGGGAGCGAACGGG
rnacentral:rRNA from 1 species